CUUUAAGUUUUGGGUUAUUUUUGUGCAAAUCGCCUCUCUUCGCCUGCUGCCGCCGCUUAUCGCCUCCACGCGAGCCCUCCUCCCGCCGCCGCCACGGCUCUCUGUCCUGCUCCCCCAAACCUCAUCACUCCUCCCCCUCGCAGCGUGGCGGCCUCGGCCUGCAACGAGGAUGAGGAUGGCGCAGGCGCCAGCUCUCACGAGCGCGAGUCUCACAGCCAUGGCGCUUCCGAGUACUGCUACGGAGGAGGCCAUGGAAGAGCCGGUGCUACGGCGACUCGCUGGUGCCAGAUCUUCAGAAAGAGAGGACGAGGGAGGCCUCGGCAGGGGCUACUCAUCAGGCAGCACUACAGGGACAGCAUGCCGUAUGCGAAGACUCUCCUCCACAGCUUCUAAGUCGCUUCAGUGGGAUCCCCGAGAAAGAAAGAAUAUGAAGGAUCUAGAGGAGGAGUUUGAUGAUUGAGGAGCCAAGCCCACAAGACCAACAAAUUCAAGCCAGGAGAAGAUGAGAUUUGUGUUUAUUUGCUGCAAGGAGACGAUGUUCAUCUUUUUGAGUUUUUGGUUGAUUUUUUUCCACAGGUUUACGAUACCAAGAGGUCUACCUAAAAGGGGUGCUCAACUCACACCUAAGAACAUCAAGAAGCAGAACUGGUUCAUGAAUCAUAUGAAGACAUGUACCCAGGCAAAAUCAAGGACAAGGUGUGCUCUAAUCUGACCCCAUGUAGCCUGCCAUAAUGAUGGAAGUGCUUGUGAUGAAAUGUGUCACUCUUUUCUCUGAGAAUUUAACAAGAACUGUGUGCUUUUCUCCAUGGAUGAAGACUAUUUGGCGAGGAGACACCGCCUUUCCUUGCAGCUUUGGGCGCUUUUGUGGUCGCACAAGUUGCCGCCCUGCACCAAUUUUAGGUUAUCUGUUGGUAUAAUAUUUUUCACCUCACUUCUACAUCUCUAGGCCAGCCAUAGUUUUGGGAGUUGGCCAUUACUGUCAAAAACUUGGUUGUUUGGGCAUGUCAUGAAGUAGGACUAUUAUGGUUUAGAUGUUUGCUUCAUGCCACCGGCCUUUUGUUGCAAUUCUUACAGUUGAUUAAAAUUGUAGUGCUCUUUUCUUUUAUCAUGAUAUGGUUACUGUUUAGUUUCUGAAUUAUACAUUUGGAUUUGUAGUUCUUAUGAGGUAUUGGAUUUAUAUCAGAUCAAAAUUUCACUUGUUACACUUUAUAUUUUCUAUUAUUUCUCAUAUGCCUUUUAAUGUUCCUCUUUACUGAUAAAUAAAUUGCUACCUUUCCAUAUUAAUUUAAUAUUUCAUUCAGUUUAUGUAUUGAUACAAAAUUUUCCUUUCAGCAACAGCGAGACAAGCAAGAACACAGCCUCCAAAUGUAGCUCUCUCUCUCUCUCUCUCUCUCUCUCUCUCUCUCUCUCUCUCUCUCUCUCUCUCUCUCCCCUGUGGACAGCCUAUUAUAUAUUUAAUAGAUAUACCAGUGUCGAUUGACAUAUUUUCUCAUAUAGGUUGGUCUUUAUUUGUGCUCUAAUAUGCACAGGUGCAUAAGUUUUGUCAAGAUACCAGCAGGAUUGGCUGGGUAGGUUCUGAUGGAGUCAUGGAAUAUGUAACAACAUUGCCUGUAAGCUCCGCUAUGGGAAUUUAUUGUGACAGCAGAUUCAACUUUAACUUUGACUAAUCCUCCUUAUUACCAUCUCUUCUUCUCAAAUCCAGGCUAUGUUUCGCAAUGUAGUAGGCCUAUUAUAUGUAUGGUCUCCUUGAUUUGGUGAUUUACCUUUUACUUGGUUAAUUGUAGUUCGAUGGUCUGGGAGAUACUUAUAUAUACUCUGAAACUCUGCACCUGUUUUUUCAGAAAUUUUAUCUACAUCUUUACGGGAAGGUAUCAUAUUAUUUUUUAAUUCAUUUUCUUAUAUGACUUCUCUCAACUGAUUAAAGCUGAAUUACUUGCUCUUGUAUUAUAUUUAACCACUUAACGGUAUUUGUAUUGUAUUUAACCACUUAACGGUAUUUUUGCUGCAUGGAUUUGUCCCAAAAGCUGAUUUCUCAUUAUCUCCAUUUUGAUUCAAUGCUAUCAAGGAUUCUAACAAAACUAGAGCCAGAUAUGUAUGAGUGCAUAAUUACACGGCUACCAAACAGUCAUACCCUAAUGCAUUCUUAGAGGAAACCCCCAGAGUUGAUCUUCCAUAUCCGUAUAAAAGCUAAGAUGCUAAAUGAUAAGAUCUAUAUAUGUUCAGAUGCCCUGUUCUUAAAGUUACCCUCCACAUGUCGUAGUGUCAUUUCCGCCGAUAAUAAGGUGUUGGUUUAUUGCUUGACAAUCAUAUAGUUUAUCCAAUUGUGCAUCAGGCUGUAGGCUAAUUUUGUACAUGGUAUGCCUCAAAGUGAAUAUCACCAUAUAACUCUGUUGAUAAUAAUACGGUUGUUUUCUGCAGUUUACAUUAGAUCUUUCAUAUUGAAUAGAUCAUUGAUGUUGGUUUAAGGUUUCUCGACCGCUGUAUUAAUUGAUUUUCUAUGAUGUCGAUUGUUAUAGUGAUAAAUUUAUUUGCUGUGAUGCGAUACCCAAAUAAUCUUUUAUCUUUCACAAGUAGAAACUGAUAUGCCACUUUAUUUGGAUUUUUUCUCAUCUGUAGUACACAAUAGUGUAGGUAUUUGUUUGUACUGAAACUUUGUUUUCUUGUAGGAUCAAAUGAGUAUGAAACAACACAGUUAUGGUGAUCCCUAGAGCCCUAAUUGUGAGCUUACUUCCACGUCAAAAAUCAGGUAAUAUAGCUAUAUAUUGUAUUUUGUUGCUUAUUUCUUAUGCUGAAAGUGAUCGAAACAUAUGAUUUAGUCUAUUGCUGGUUUGCCAUGUUGUGUGAGGUAGUUCCUUGCCAUUGCCCCAUUGUGAUCUUUAGUUCCCACGCAAGCGACCAAUAGCUAUUAUGUAUAUUUAGUAGCACGUAAAGGCUAUUCUAUUAUUUAAGUCAUGCUUACUGAAAAUGCAAUGCAUUUCAAGCCGUGAUUUGUAUUGUUAGCCUGCUAUUUUUCAUUUCAGUUGUGGAUUAUCGUAGGGACAAGGUGUGGCUUCCUUGGUGGCUAUACUCUUUCCCUUACUGUUAACCUAUGGUUGCAUUUACUGUUUAGAAUGGAAACUAUUUAUUGUAAAUCCAGUAUAGCCGUAGAUCUUGAAUAUUUUUGUCCAUUGCCCACUUAAUUAUGUUUUGUUUCCUCUUUUAUCCAUGAAAUAGAUGUACUCCAAAUAGGAUAAUUUCUUUGUGCUUGUUGAUUCUUGUUUGACACUGAUGCAGAUAUGGCUAGCUGUGAUGUGCAUGAACCAUCAUUUGUUAAAUCAUGCGGGUAAAUUUAAUUUAUUGGAAUUUUUCUUUAGCAAGACGUGGCUGGUUGUGGGGUUUGAGAUGAUUUUUAUAUCAAAAUGCACAAGAGAGCAAUCAGCUUAGUUUAGCUUGCCGGAUUUGCUCCAGUGAAGGUCUGCAGUACCAUAAUCACCAGGUCAACACACACGUUUCUUUUUGUGCUAACGUAUCCUUUUGAUGUAAAUUAAGUACAUAUUGGAACCUCCGACUGAUAGAAUCGUGAACAAAAUAUAUUGUCGUGUCUCUACUCCCUACUGUGUAGUCUAACUAUGAACCAAACGUUUGUAUAACAUGGAAAUUGUUCAGAUUCUCAAGCUACCGAAAAGAGAUACCUUAUACAUGCCAGAUGGAAUCCUAAUCAGUGAGGACUCUAAUGCUUGGAUCUGAUGAUGGUUCUAUGAGCGAACAACUUCAGUGGCACAUGUGAUGUUAUUUUGAUCUAAGAUUCCAUCAAAAGUGCAAAAUCUGUCUUAGCGUGGAAAAGACUGCAGAGCUCUCUUGUCUGAGGUUGGAGCAGGAGCCUCUUAUGCCCUGGAACGUUAAAUGCAUAUUUUUUCUCCUUUAGAUUUUUAUUCAUCGAGUGUACCCACAUGGUAUGCCAUAAUAAGGAUUAGCUUUUACUUCAAUGUUGUAAAAUUACCAAAUAUUUGUACUACCUAUUAA